rnacentral:rRNA from 1 species
GUGGGGAAUAUUGGGCAAUGGGCGCAAGCCUGACCCAGCAAUGCCGCGUGGGUGAAGAAGGCCCUCGGGUCGUAAAGCCCUUUCGGCGGGGACGAUGGUGACGGUACCCGCAGAAGAAGCCCCGGCCAACUUCGUGCCAGCAGCCGCGGUAAUACGAAGGGGGCUAGCGUUGCUCGGAAUCACUGGGCGUAAAGGGCGCGUAGGCGGCCCCGCCCGUCGGGCGUGAAAUCCCCGGGCUCAACCCGGGGCGGUCGCCCGGGACGGCGGGGCUGGAGGCCGGGAGAGGGCCGCGGAAUUCCCAGUGUAGAGGUGAAAUUCGUAGAUAUUGGGAAGAACACCGGUGGCGAAGGCGGCGGCCUGGCCCGGACCUGACGCUGAGGCGCGACAGCGUGGGGAGCAAACAGG